UUAAAAUCCAAAAGCAGUGUUCUGUAGAAUUUUCUCUUGCUCAGAAAUGCUGGUCUUCUUGUUCUAUUCAGGCCCUCAGCUGAUUGGAUGAGGCCCACCCACAUUCAGGAGAAGCUCCCUGGCUUCUUCCCAAAUGAUUCUUCUUGUCUCCCUGCCACAUGCCACAUUUUGUGACAUGACUGAAGCAGGCGUCGACCAUUGUGCUGGUGUCAUACUGGCCACCAACUCAGAUGCUCAGAAACAUAGCCAUCUUCCUCAAGGUUAAAGAAAGACCAAGACCAGAAUGUCUACCAAUGUCACCUUGCCAGAGACACUGAAAGAACUCAAGAGGGGAUGUAGGUGCCUAUGGGUAGGUGGCAGCCAGCUCUACUUUCCAGGCAAAGGAGUCUACUCAGCCUUUGGGUCUCCAAGGCCUAGGCUCCCAAGGAACAGUUGAGGUGCCACCAUAGGAAAGAGGGGCCGGGGGAGACCUAUUAUCCCAGGGGGCUGAGCACAAAAGGCUGAGACCCUCAGGGUCAAAUCAUGGUGUCCCAUUAGCAGAUCUUAGCUCUGAGGGACACCGCCCUCCCUGGAAGAUGCACAAUGGUCUGAUCAGCAGCUGUCCCGCAGAGCCUUUCAGGUGGAUGGGACCAUGCGUGAGCCCAAGCUAGGCAACUGCUGGCCCCAGUUCAAGCCCAUCUCGUGUGUGGAGUUUGAUUAAGCUUGGUUCAUAUGGAUCGCAUCAAUCCCCCUCCCCCCUGGUUUCGGGGCAAUUUGAGGAGGACACAACCUCAAGGGGGAGAUAUUGGACUUUCAGACAAGAUGGCCCCCAAAGGGUGACUCCAUUUUCAUUCGGGAAAGAAAAUGAAAGAGAUGGGAAGCAUUUGCACCCGAGCUUUGGGAAGCCUUCGCUGGGCUGAGGACUAAGUGAGAUCCCGAAAUGAAGUGAGAUCCUUCCUCAUGAAGCCUGACAUGUCCUGGGAACUAAAACCUGUUCACCUCCAUGCCCAAGUCACCUGGACAUUAAGGAAGACGGGGCCUCAAAAGGGCUGUGCGGAUUCACUCCAUGAGUCUCAGGGUUUCCAAGGCUGGUCCCGGUUUAUUGGGCAUCCUGCUGGGCCAGACUUUGGCAGCUGGGUGGCAAAUCUGUCCAGAUUGCUUGCACCUCCCCUCUUUGUCCUCUGCUUCUCAGCGCUAGCCUUUAGCACCCCUUCUUGGAUCACUGGACUCCUCUCCUCCUUCUCAGUCCUUAGGCUGGGAUGCUCAGAUUCCCAGCUAGGAUAAAAGGGCACUUGGAAGUCCAGCUCAGGGACUAGUUACCCAAGAGUCGGUGGACGGGGUGGGGCACCACUGGAGUGAGACCCUGGAUCUGGGGCCCGAGGAACCGUGUCUGUGCCAUAUGCUGCAGGGGAGAGGUGACACCCCAUUCUGCAAACACUGCCCUCCCUUUCCUUGUUGACACAUCUGGAGGGCUGGGGAGAAGGGGCUGGUGCAGGGAGGUCUGUAUCAUUGACACUAACUCUGGGUAUUGACAAUAGGAAACCAACAACGUGAGAGAAGAAAAUCAAAAGUAAUAUCCAUUUGAAACUGUUUUGAAACUUCUGGUCAUCUCUGCCUCCUUACCAAGAAGCAUAAUCAUGAUAACUUACAGUCACUAAGUGUCACAGUUGCUUCUGUUUGCCGUGUCACGUGUUCUCAGGACGACACCUCAAGACAUACAGUCGCAGCUCGGAUGAAUGACGGGUCCAAAAUUGGACCGAAGAACGUAUCUGGCCUCCAAACUCCAAGUCUCUACGAGCUGCAGGCACACUUUUGCAUUAUCUCUAGAUGAUCAUGCUUGAAGGAUUGAAGGUCGCCUCUUAACAGAGGAGAGGACACUGCUCCCAAGAGGUGGCUCCUCAAGACCAGGAAGCAGCUCCGGGAUCUCUUGUCAGCCUGGAUCUCCCAGGUCACUGUAUUAGUGUUUCUUUGUAUUCUGAUGCUUUUCCUCCUGGGGCCUUGCCAACCUGGAGGCACCUCCCUCCACAGGGCUGGCCGAUUGCUGGCCAUAGUAAAUGAUUCACCUGUAAGCAUACUUUCUGUGCGUAAGCCAAUCAAUACGGAGCCCAUCCCCAACCACCCACUUUACUGGGCUCUCACACUCCAGGCCACAGUCCUCCUGCUCUUAUCCCCCUGAGAUCAAGAAUCAAAUGACCAGAGACAGCCCCUACCCCCCCCAGAGCCCACCAAAGUUAUUCAACCUAGCCCAUCCUCUGCCUGUUUACUCUGCUUGAUGUGCUCCUUCCUCUGGAAACCACAAUAAAGGACUCUUGCCCAGGUCCUUUCCCUGUCUCUCUGCCUCCUGGGCAUCCCCGCUGCUUCCCAUAUAGCCCUGCAUGGGGUGGCCUGGCCUCUCCUCUUGGGAACUGUGAGUGACACACGGUGAUUUCGAUGGCGGUCAUCUGAUCUGUCGGCUUCACCUUACUUGAAAAAUAGUAAAACCUGCAUUUUAAAAUAGUCGUGUCCCCGACAAGUUCUGCAGAUACUCAUGCUCCUGAAAAAGAUGAAAAUGACCCAAACCUUCAUGCAUCAAGUAUUUUCAACCCCAGACGUGUAAAGAAAUGGCCUGGAGGGGGAGACACACGGGCUUCAGCGUCAGAACCUGGGGGCUUGAGUUUGUCUUCUGCUCUUUCCUCUGUGGAGCUGGGUGGUUACAGCAUCUUCCAGUUUCCUAAUCUGCAACAAGGAGGCUCAACUGGGUUUCAGCUAAGAAACCUGAAAAUGAUACGUCAAAAGUCGUGUCAUGCAAUCAACACUCAAAACCCUUUUCGUGGCUGGCAACAUUAUUCUUCCUCAAUAAUUGGUUACCCGCACUUUUUUUUUAACCAGCAGCCCAAAUCUUAUCUGAAUGAAGACAGUCAUUCUUCCCUUUUCCUCAACUAUUCUCUUAAACAUUUGAUUUGCAUUUGGUCAUUAGAAAGCGUAUAGACCUGUUUAAUCAUUAAGGGUUCAAAACCUAUUACCGCUUGAGUAGAAACUAGAGUGAGCUCUGUUUCCCCGACUUGAAAGAUAGGGCAUCCAAGAACCCAUCUGCGGACAGACCCCAGUUUGAGAAACACAACAUUAAAAAUUAAACUCUGGGGGCACUUGGGUGGCUCAGUGGGUUAAGCAUCCGACUUUAGCUCAGGUCAUGAUCUCAGUUUGUGAGUUCGAGUCCCCCAUCAGGAUGUCUGCACUCAGCACGGAGCCUGCUUUAGAUCUUCCAUCCCCUCCUCUCUCUCUCUGUCCUCCCCUGAACUCUCUGUCUCUCAAAAAUAACUAAACAUUAAAAAACUUAAACUCUGUCCAUAGCAUUGAUUGCUUUAUGCUGACAGGACCAUAAACCCAACAAAUGGGGGCCAAACACAAGCGGAGCCCCGAAAUAUCACAGUAAUGCAGGAAGUUAUUGCCCAAAUAAUCUGUUAUAACAUAAGUAUAUAGAGGUAGAUGGAGUUUAAA